rnacentral:misc_RNA from 1 species
GAUGAAGAACGCAGCGAAAUGCGAUAAGUAAUGUGAAUUGCAGAAUUCAGUGAAUCAUCGAAUCUUUGAACGCACAUUGCGCCCGCCAGUAUUCUGGCGGGCAUGCCUGUCCGAGCGUCAUUUCAACCCUCGCGCCCAUCUGGGCUGCGGUGUUGGGGACCGGCCUGCCCCCCCGGGGCGCGCCGCCCCCCAAAUUCAGUGGCGGUCUCGCUGCAGCCUCCCUUGCGUAGUAGCACACCUCGCACCGGAGCGCAGCGCGGCCACGCCGUAAAACCCCCGACCCCCAUGAGUUUGACCUCGGAUCAGGUAGGAAUACCCGCUGAACUUAAGCAUAUCAUAAGCGGAGGA